AAGUUCCCUCACUGUCCCCGCCUCCCCUAAUCUCUUCUCUGUAAGACUUAAAACCAGGUCAGGUGCUGUUGAGCUUGGGGCAAAAAAGCACGUUAUUUACACUCUUUCUUACAGCUCACCACAUCUGUAGCUCAGACCCCAUCUAUGACACCAUGCUAUGCUGUUGCCUCAUGCCACCUGUGUCCAAGCUCCUCUCCAAGCCUCUGAAGUUUGUAUCCCUCUGGGGCCUAGGACAGUACUUGUCUCAGCACACAUGCUCCAUAGAUGAUUGUUGAAAGGACGAAUAUACAGAAACUUCCCAAGGUUCCUACUCUGAAGACUGUGAGAAUAAGCUUCCUGGGUACGUACGUGUGACUGGAGGAGAGUGACCUGCUUACAUGCUCCCGGGAUA